rnacentral:rRNA from 1 species
UUACCCCGGCUGGAACUUAAGCAUAUCAAUAAGCGGAGGAAAAGAAACCAACAGGGAUUACCUCAGUAACGGCGAGUGAAGCGGUAACAGCUCAAAUUUGAAAUCUGGCCUCUGGUCCGAGUUGUAAUUUGUAGAAGAUGCUUCGGGUGUGGCUCCGGUCUAAGUUCCUUGGAACAGGACGUCAUAGAGGGUGAGAAUCCCGUAUGUGACUGGCUGCCUCCCCUAUGUGAAGCUCUUUCGACGAGUCGAGUUGUUUGGGAAUGCAGCUCAAAAUGGGUGGUAUAUUUCAUCUAAAGCUAAAUAUUGGCCAGAGACCGAUAGCGCACAAGUAGAGUGAUCGAAAGAUGAAAAGCACUUUGGAAAGAGAGUUAAACAGUACGUGAAAUUGUUGAAAGGGAAGCGCUUGCAAUCAGACUUGCACGUUACCGAUCAUCUGGUGUUCUCACCAGUGCACUCGGUUUCGUUCAGGCCAGCAUCGGUUUGGGUGGUUGGAUAAAGGCCUUGGGAAUGUGGCUCCUCGGAGUGUUAUAGCCCAAGGUGCAAUGCAGCCUACCCGGACCGAGGACCGCGCUUCGGCUAGGAUGCUGGCGUAAUGAUUGUAAGCGGCCCGUCUUGAAACACGGACCAAGGAGUCUAACAUCUAUGCGAGUAUUUGGGUGUUAAACCCAUAUGCGAAAUUAACGUGAACGGAGGUAAGAGCCCUUAAGGGUGCAUUAUCGACCGGUCCUGAUGUUUACGGAUGGAUCUGAGUAAGAGCAUAGCUGUUGGGACCCGAAAGAUGGUGAACUAUGCCUGAAUAGGGUGAAGCCAGAGGAAACUCUGGUGGAGGCUCGCAGCGGUUCUGACGUGCAAAUCGAUCGUCAAAUUUGGGUAUAGGGGCGAAAGACUAAUCGAACCAUCUAGUAGCCUGGUUUCCUGCCGAAGUUUCCCCUCAGGAUA